UUCAGAUUACUGACGCAU
rnacentral:snRNA from 1 species